UAGAAAAUGGAUGGAUGGAUGGAUGGGUGUGAGAGUUUAUUAAAGAACAAGUGACCAUAUAGCAGUGAAUACUGGGGAGCUGCUGGCUUUGCUCUUAGAAAUGCUCUGAGUGGAAGAACAUGAGCCAAUGAAAAUACUAAUUGCUUCAGAUUCAAGUAGUGCAUUAAUAAGUUUAAAGAAUUUCAGAAUGGAUGUUGUUGUAGAACUGUCUCAAAUAAUAAACAGAUCAGGUACACUGAGGAAAUGUGUGGUUUUCCUCUGGGUGACAGCUCAUUUUGGAAUAGUAGGCAAUGAAUUGGCAGAUAAGUAUGCAAAGCAGGGUGUAAGAAAAUUAAACAUAGAUUUACCUGUUAAGUCUUCAAAGACAGAAAUUAAGAGCGUUGUAAAGAGUACUCUAAAAAGAAGGAGGCAAAGAGACUGGGAUUAAAGAAGUACUGCCCGAUUCUGUUACUCUGUCCAUCAAAAUGUUGGGGGAACAAUGGAGAUUGGGGGAGAUCUUUGCCUGAGAGAGGAGGAUGUUCUGCCACGUUUAAUGACGGGACACAGGAAUUAAUAGCACAUUACACUUAAUUGGAAAACAUCCAUAUGGAAACUGUGAAUAUUGUGGGGAGACUGAGACAAUAGAUGUGGUUUUUACUUGUACUAAAUACAGACGACAAAGGAGAAUUCUUAUAGGAAGAAUAAUUGAGAAUGACCAUUUAAUAUUAAGAGAAUAUUGCAGGGAUGGAGAGAUACAGAAAUUUGUAGGGCGGUCCUGAAAUUUAUUAAAAGUUAAGGAUUACUUUUGUGUAUUUAGAUUGGGGAGACUUGACUAACCAGAGGCUUCCCAGCCCAGACUCCAUCCUGGAAGGCGGCGAGUUCCCUGCGCCUGUCUGCACCGCCAUGGGUUCUGCCUGCUGUGCUGCUGAAUCUCCUGCUACUCCAGCGUUCCUGCUCCAAGUGAUCUCUCGGCUGUCCUGCUGGUUCUCCUGCUACCCCUGCGUUCUCUUACUUACUCUGGGGACUUCCUGGUUCCUGCAGCGCAGCACUCCAGCGUCCUCCGGUCCUUCAGCUCUCUCCAGUCCCCCAGCUCCUACACUCACCAUCCACCAGCUCGAUCCUGGUAAAGACUCUGGUUCAUCUCCUCCAUUACACCUAACCAGCAAUAAACUCUCUGGAAUGAA